GGAGGGGGGAUGAAUAUUCAUAAGCGGGCGUUGCGGACAGGCGGUGCUGACAUCACAGUUCAACUAGGCUCCUGAAAACCCCGCCCAUGCCAGUUACAGCCACAUUUGCAUAUAUAGAAAAACCAAGAUUGCGGGCAAACGGACGGACGGAUCCGGGCAAGGACUUCACCUCCACUGCCGUUCCCCUCGCCCUUCAACCAAGAGAUUAAUUCUACAAGAUUAAAAAAGACCUUCAUGCCCGGCUGCCAAGUCCCUUACUUAAAUCCCAAAUCAGAAUCAAUCUGGGACAGCCCAUCUGUUAAAUGGAGCCCACAGGUUGACAUUGCAGCUGUUCCCAUCACAUCUAGGAUAGGUGGGGUCAAGACGACACAUCUGACAAGAUGUAAGGAGCCAGUGGAACGGAGAUUCCUAAGAAACAGCUGAGCAUACGAUCUGGGGAGGCAGAGCCAACAUAUUUGAUCUCAUGGCACCAGCAUGUCACACAUAGAUGUACUGGAAUACAUGAUCGCUAACAUUCUGAAAAGUUAUGUACACCAUACUAGUCUCUUUACAUGGUACCACCUCUGUUACAAAUACUGGGUAAUGGGGUGCUAAAUGCCACUCUAUACCAUUUUGCCUGCCUAUAGGAGCAUUUCAACGUGAUCAUGACAAAAACUAAAGUUUAUUGCAACUAUUUACAGUCUUCGGCUAUAAAGUCGGUCUAUAAAGUACACU